rnacentral:tRNA from 1 species
UUUAAUAAGGUGUUGCGGCAUGUUACAUUUUGGUUGUAAAGGUGGUUAGUUACCUAUUAUUU